rnacentral:lncRNA from 1 species
AGUGAAACUCUGUCUCAAAAACAAAAAACAAAAAAAAACAGGCAAGAAACUUAAAGAAUUGAUUCUGUGGUGGCUGGAGGGCAGGGGGCAAGAGGGGAGAAGGAAGAUAAGGCCACACAGGCCAGGUCCUGCAGAGCCUGGAAAACCAUGGGGACAGUGAGGACCUGGCAGGGUCUCCUCAGGACAGUGACUUGGUCAUGUCUGCCCUGCGAGGCAGAAUCACUCCCACUGUGCUGAGAACGGUUUGGCCCAGGCAGUGCUGGGGCAGACUGCCUGGUAGGAAGCACAGCGGCAGUGCAGGCGAGAGGGAAAGCGGCUUGGGAGACAGCCGUGGAGAUGCAGACAACAGGCGUGGAGGCCAAGCAGGCAGGGUGUGACGAUGAAUGGAGGUGGGGGUGAGCAUGCAAGCGAUGCCUGCCUGGAAUACCAGGUAGGUGGGGUGCCAAGCACUGCAAUGGGGGCCCUGGAGGAGGAGCAGGCUUGCAGGGGGGAGUGAGGAGGGAGGGAAGUAGAGGAGAGAGAAGGCUGACACUGGCAAUGAAAAGGGCAGGGACUCUGGAGCAGACAUCAGCAGAUGUGGGUCCCAGCUCUGGCGCUUACCUGCCCUGUGGUCUCUGAUGAGUGAUUCCACAUAAGCCUGUUUCCUCAUCUGAGUGCGGAGAGGAGGAUCCUUCUGCCGGCUGCUCGCAAGGACUGGUGAGCAGGCCCAUCACGCCCUCAGCGCAGAGCCUGCCUGGGGCAGUCCUGACUACCGGUCUUCCUCAAGUGAACACCUGGUACUUACCCCUUACUUGAAAAUGUUUAAUGGCUUGUUCUUUUAUUUAGCAAAAGUUAAUCAAAUUUUCUAACAUCAACAGUCAUGUAAUGAUGGUGCCUUUUUUCUGAAUAGAAAUAUGCCAGGCACCGACCUAGGUGCUAGGGAUACCCAGAAGAGACUUGGUGCCAGGGAUCCCUGCAUCCCUCUGACAAUCACCUCAAUCCCCUUAGCUGCAAGAUCUGACUCCAUCCGGCCCACCUUCCUAGCCACGCCUCUCUACUCCAAUCUUAAUGCACCUCCUGGAGUUUCUCACGAAGUUGGUCUGUGACAAGCUUCCAAGCCUUUGUACAUGUUCCAUUGGAAAACCUUUCCCUACCUUUAAAAACUAACUGCUACUUUGGCUGGGCAUGGCGGCUCAUGCUUGUAAUUCCAGCACUUUGGGAGACUGAGGUGGGUGGAUCACCUGAGAUCAGGAGUUCAAGACCAGCCUGGCCAACAUGGUGAAACCCCGUCUCUACUAAAAAUACAAAAAUUACCUGGGCGUGGUGUCGGGCACCUGUAGUUC